rnacentral:rRNA from 1 species
AUUCCAGCUCCAAUAGCGUAUAUUAAAGUUGUUGCAGUUAAAAAGCUCGUAGUUGGAUUUCUGUUUUGAAUGUCCGGUCGGUCAGUUUCUGAUGUGUACUUUGGAUAUUCGAAGCAUUUUUUGUGAGGGUCCUUGACUGGCAUUAAGUUGUUGGUUUUGGAAGCUUGCAUCGUUUACUGUGAAAAAAUUAGAGUGUUUCAAGCAGGCGUUUGCUUUUGAAUACAUUAGCAUGGAAUAAUAAGAUACGACUAGCGUGGUCUAUUUUGUUGGUUUGCACACGCAAGUAAUGAUUAAUAGGGACAGUUGGGGGUAUUCAUAUUUGAGCGUCAGAGGUGAAAUUCUUGGAUCGCUGAAAGAUGAGCUUAGGCGAAAGCAUUUAUCAUGGAUGUUUUCAUUA